AUUUUUCCAUCCUUUUCACCAGUAAAGAUUAUCAUCGUUUAAAAAAGAGGAGAGAACAGAGUUAUGGUAUGAAUGUAUGUAAAACUAUAGAGAACUACAGUAAUAUGUACUGUGGUUAUUGCUGCAACUCGGAAUCUGAAGGAAUCUUGUCUGACAACUGUGCUAUCCAUGUGGGCUACGGUGUGACAGUGGCGGUAGAGAGGAGACUCCGGCUGGCGACCGGGGACUGGGAAGCUGGGGUCCCCUUCCCCUCGGACCCUCCCCACCUUCCCUUUCCCCAUCCAAAAGGAUUUCAGGAGAGGAG
rnacentral:lncRNA from 1 species